rnacentral:ribozyme from 1 species
GGACAAACUCAUCCAGGAACGAAUGCCAAUGUGCGUGGGAAUUUGCGUGCUGCUGGCCAUUGUGUAUGUGUUGAGUCGUACGGGAGUCAACCAGGAGGUCAUAAUGGAUCGAAACAACCUCAACAGCAACAACCGGGGUCAGGUGCAGAGUCUCCGGGUUG